rnacentral:rRNA from 1 species
GACGAACGCUGGCGGCGUGCUUAACACAUGCAAGUCGAACGGGUCUGCCCUGUUUUUUGCGGGGUGGGUCAGUGGCGAACGGGUGAGUAACACGUGAGUAACCUGCCCCUCACUUCUGGAUAACCGCUUGAAAGGGUGGCUAAUACGGGGUGUUCUGGCUGUGCCGCAUGGUGUGGCUGGGAAAGAUUCACUUUUGUGGUGUUUUGGUGGGGGAUGGGCUCGCGGCCUAUCAGCUUGUUGGUGGGGUGAUGGCCUGCCAAGGCUUUGACGGGUAGCCGGCCUGGGGGGGUGGGCGGUCAAAGUGGGACUGGGGUCCGGCCCAGACUCCGGCGGGGGGCAGCAGGGGGGGGGAGUGCACAAGGGGGGGAAGCCUGAGGCAGCGCCGGCGCGGGAGGGAGGGGGGCCUUCGGGUUGUGAACCUCUUUCGCCGGUGAAGAAGGUCCGGCUUUGUGGGGGGGGGUUGACGGUAGCCGGGUUAUGAAGCGCCGGCUAACUACGU